rnacentral:rRNA from 1 species
UGCCAGCCGCCGCGGUAAUACGGAGGGGGCUAGCGUUGUUCGGAAUUACUAGGCGUAAAGCGCACGUAGGCGGACUAUUAAGUCAGGGGUGAAACCCCGGGGCUCAACCCCGGAACUGCCUCUGAUACUGGUAGUCUUGAGACCGGAAGAGGGUAGUGGAAUUCCCAGUGUAGAGGUGAAAUUCGUAGAUAUUGGGAAGAACACCAGUGGCGAAGGCGGCUACCUGGUCCGGAUCUGACGCUGAGGUACGAAAGCGUGGGGAGCGAACAGGAUUAGAUA